CCUACGGGAGGCAGCAGUGGGGAAUCUUGCGCAAUGGGCGAAAGCCUGACGCAGCCAUGCCGCGUGAAUGAUGAAGGUCUUAGGAUUGUAAAAUUCUUUCACCGGGGACGAUAAUGACGGUACCCGGAGAAGAAGCCCCGGCUAACUUCGUGCCAGCAGCCGCGGUAAUACGAAGGGGGCUAGCGUUGCUCGGAAUUACUGGGCGUAAAGGGGAGCGUAGGCGGAUAGUUUAGUCAGAGGUGAAAGCCCAGGGCUCAACCUUGGAAUUGCCUUUGAUACUGGCUAUCUUGAGUGUGGGAGAGGUUAGCGGAACUCCGAGUGUAGAGGUGAAAUUCGUGGAUAUUCGGAAGAACACCAGUGGCGAAGGCGGCUAACUGGCCCAUUACUGACGCUGAGGCUCGAAAGCGUGGGGAGCAAACAGGAUUAGAUACCCUGGUAGUCCACGCCGUAAACGAUGAGUGCUAGUUGUCGGCAUGCAUGCAUGUCGGUGACGCAGCUAAACGCAUUAAGCACUCCGCCUGGGGAGUACGGUCGCAAGAUUAAAACUCAAAAGGAAUUGACGG
rnacentral:rRNA from 1 species